UCCCUGACAGUCCAGUUGUUAUGACUCUGCACUUCCAACGCAGGGGGUGUGGGUUUGAUCCCUGGUCAGGGAA
rnacentral:tRNA from 1 species